rnacentral:rRNA from 1 species
GACGAACGCUGGCGGCGUGCCUAAUACAUGCAAGUAGAACGCUGAAGCUUGGUGCUUGCACCGAGCGGAUGAGUUGCGAACGGGUGAGUAACGCGUAGGUAACCUGCCUGGUAGCGGGGGAUAACUAUUGGAAACGAUAGCUAAUACCGCAUAAGAGUAGAUGUUGCAUGACAUUUGCUUAAAAGGUGCAAUUGCAUCACUACCAGAUGGACCUGCGUUGUAUUAGCUAGUUGGUGAGGUAACGGCUCACCAAGGCAACGAUACAGAGCCGACCUGAGAGGGUGAACGGCCACACUGGGACUGAGACACGGCCCAAACUCCUACGGGAGGCAGCAGGAGGGAAUCUUCGGCAAUGGACGGAAGUCUGACCGAGCAACGCCGCGUGAGUGAAGAAGGGUUUCGGAUCGUAAAGCUCUGUUGUAAGAGAAGAACGAGUGUGAGAGUGGAAAGUUCACACUGUGACGGUAUCUUACCAGAAAGGGACGGCUAACUACGUG